rnacentral:rRNA from 1 species
UACAGAGGGUGCAAACGUUGCUCGGAAUUACUGGGCGUAAAGCGCGUGUAGGCGGACCUGUAAGUUGGACGUGAAAGCCCUGGGCUCAACCCAGGAAUUGCAUUCAAAACUACAGGCCUAGAGUGAUGGAGAGGGUGGCAGAAUUCCUGGUGUAGAGGUGAAAUUCGUAGAUAUCAGGAGGAACACCGGUGGCGAAGGCGGCUACCUGGACAUCAACUGACGCUGAGACGCGAAAGCGUGGGGAGCAAACAGGAUUAGAUACCCUGGUAGUCCACGCCGUAAACGAUGAGUGCUGGGUGUCGUGGGUUUUGACCCCCGCGGUGCCGUAGCUAACGCGUUAAGCACUCCGCCUGGGGAAUACGGCCGCAAGGCUAAA